AUGGAGCAACUAGUUAGUUCGGCUGGUUCUUCGAAUACGGAGCCAUCAGUGUGCAAGAGGAAGAAUCAUUCCACUUCCCCGGAACUCAUUUCCAGCAGCGACGACGGAGAUGAUUUCAUUCCCCCACGACGACGACUCAAGCGUAAGAAUACCCAUGAAUCAAAGGCUGCCAAGGCUAAGAAAGUCUCCAACAACUCUCCCACCAUCCCCACAAAAAAUGACGAGAAGAAGAAGAAGAAGAAGUGUCGUCCCACCAUAUGGUGUGCUCCUGAGUUUAUUAAAUCGGCGAUUGAAAUUCUAAAAGAUUGCCAGAGGAAAAGGAUCAAGAAGUUAGGGUUUGGGUGGGUGCUCAGUUUGACUGUUGAUGCGCUCCGAACAAGGAACCUUCCCGUGUUUCUAAUGGACAAUACAAGUGAAUCCCUUGUGAUCAAUGUUGGUACGCAAGGCGGUCUUAAGAUUACACCCCAUGCUGUGCAUUGUGUCCUUGGCUUACCCAAUGGCGGCACAGAUCCACCUCCUUUCUCCUAUGCACAAAAAAGAGAGCAACUUUUGAAGCUCAAGGAACUACUUGGUGUCUCUAAGCACAAAAACAUUACUUUUGAAGUCUUGUACCAACGCAUUCGCCUCGGGGGCGAUGACGACUUGACGAUAAGAUACUUCAUUAUAAUUGUGUUCAAUCGUCUCUUAUUCCCCACUACGGCUAAAUAUAUCACAGGGAGGGAUGCGGCUUGGACUUCUGACUUACACAAUCUCCCAAAUAUUGAUUGGUGCAAGGUCCUUGUUGACGACAUUAGCCAUGCUGUAAUUUCCUGGAAGUCCAAGAGGUUGGCUUACCCCAAGAGAUUGGCUAAUUCCAAGAAAUUGUAUGAACCAACCCUGUCCCUCACUAGUUGCACCCUCUUUUGUAUUAUUUUUUAUUUGACAACCUAUUAA
rnacentral:rRNA from 1 species